UAGAGCAAUUGUAGAACAGUUUGACUAGCCCAAGGUUUAUUAAUUUUUUAAAUUCUUGCAUGAUGGUUAUUUUGUUUUGUGGACAAUGCCACGUACAUUGGUUCCGUUGGCAGCACUUAAUUUUAAUUUAAGCCUGGAUAUUUACAUCUGUUUAUACUUAAUAUUGAAAUCCAGGCACAUUGAAAUCUAUGCUGCAAAGUUUAUGCAAGUGAUAUUCUCCACCAAAUAAAAUUACUAUAAUUGUUGCCAGGCAUGGGGCAGUUGUAAAAAGGCUUGCAGCUGGUGACUACU